GUGUUGCUGACAAGAGAGGAGCAGGCUGAGAGAAAACGCCCUGUUUGUCACAAAGUUACAUCUCCGAGCUCCUUCAAGGAAGGGAGUGCCCCUGGAGAAUGGAGAGGGUGGUUCUCUUGGCUGUCUCUGGAACAAAUUUGGGUAAGUGCUCAAAGAUGUGUUACUACAGAAUGUACUUGUGAAGCUCUUGUUGCAGUGCAGUCAGAUAAGCAAAGAUAUCUGCUAGAAAAUAAAGAAAAAGCUACACAAUUUUAGACUUUGUAGUUCAUUGUCUUUUAAGACAGCAAGUCCUGCUAUUGUCUCUCAUAAAGCUACAGAAAAAGACCAUAUUGAAAACUGACGAUAGCAGUCGAUUAUUUGUGAAAAGCCUGAGAGAUGAUUUAGUAAAUACAAGGUGAAUUUCAUUGCAUCUUCAUGCAAUCAGAGACUUGCAUACACUUUUUAUCCCUUAAACAGAUGAACGAAUGGCAUGGCCCAGCUAGCAGGGAGUUGGCAGGAUAAAGUUCUAACCAACAAUUGCCACUUGCCUUCCUUUCUUCCAUCAGCUUCUAGCUUACCUUUCAGACACAGGUUCUAUCAAAGGAAACCUAAAGGGAACCUUCCUCCUUGGCCCUGCCCCAUCUAGCAUCCUCAAGGAUACUACACUCCAGUGAAGCCU
rnacentral:antisense_RNA from 1 species